UACGUAGGGUGCAAGCGUUGUCCGGAAUUAUUGGGCGUAAAGAGCUCGUAGGCGGUCUGUCGCGUCGGCUGUGAAAACCCGGGGCUCAACCCCGGGCCUGCAGUCGAUACGGGCAGACUAGAGUGCGGUAGGGGAGACUGGAAUUCCUGGUGUAGCGGUGAAAUGCGCAGAUAUCAGGAGGAACACCGGUGGCGAAGGCGGAUCUCUGGGCCGAUACUGACGCUGAGGAGCGAAAGCGUGGGGAGCGAACAGG
rnacentral:rRNA from 1 species